GUUCCUGCCGUGAGGGAGUUGUUCCCCUGCUGCUCCCCAGGCCUUCCACUUCAGGGAUCUCUUCAGAUAAAGGGGGUGGCUGGGGCCUGAAAUCUCAGCCCUCUCCCCCAGUGCAGAAUGGCAAGGUCCCAGCACUGACCCCAGCCAUCCAGUAGGGACAGGAAGCUCAGAAAGCAGGCUACUUGCCUCUCAGUGGCUAUGGACCUGGAGCAGAAUUGAGUGAGACGGUCCUUGUCUGCCUGCCAGUCUCCCUUCAGACCCUUCUUCACCCACUUCCACUUGUUCACCGCCUUCCCACUGCCAGCCCAGGAAGAGGGUUAGCAAAGGCUGAGCCAGCUCUGACCCAGUCUCCUCUCCCCACGUUUUGGUGGUGACCUCAUGCUGCAGAAAGUAGGGUUCUCUGAGGCCAAUGGCUGUGGGAAUGGGCAAAGAGAGAAGCUCCUGGGUACCCCAAGGCUGCAGCUCCAGCUCCUGGAGGGGUCAGUAAGAAGCAGCCAGGUCAGCCUGGAGUCCAUUGGGGCUCUCUCUGGCCCUACCUACAGCCCUGGGCAGCUUGGGUCAGGACUGAAUAUGGACAUGCAGGGCUCAGGAGCCAGCCAGGGACCUAUGGACAGCUGCGGCCUGCCCUGGGCCCAGGGCCCUUUGGGAGCCCUGACAUGAAGAGAGGCAGCAAUGGCCAGUUGGAAGCCAGUUACGCAGAUGCAGAAGCCCACACCUCUCCUGGGGAAGGUCCAGGAUGGAGGGUGUGCAAUUGGGGUCAUCCUAAAUUCUGAGCUCUGACUCAGAGCCUGGCCAGUCCCAAGACCAGUCUCCGAGCCUGUUGGUUCUGUGAGGAGCCCUUCCACACCCACAUCUCUUCUUGCAUCUUGGAGUGGUUUUACCAUGGAAGCUCCAGUUGAAUGGAGCUGAUUGGGUUUGGCGUGCCUAGAGGCACACAGCUCAUUUUUCCAUAGCCUGACUUUACGUGCACCAUAGUUUUCCCCACACAUCUGUAGGAGAGUGCAGUCUUGCCUGAAUAUACUACAAUGAGGUAGAAACUUCACACACGGCUUCACAAAAGCCACAGAGCAGCUGAGAUAUACAACAAUACAUCAGCUCAGCAGGAGGGAGGGAGUUAUGACAGGUUCUGUGGCACACAGCUUCCCUAAGAGGGGCAAGGAGUAUUUUUUUUUUUUAAUAUAAGGAAAGAAAGGGCCAGGGAUUUAGCUCAGUGGUACCGCACCUGCUUCUCAAGCACAAGGUCCUGAGUUUGAUCCCUGGUACCACACACACACACACACACAAAUAUAUAUAUAUAGAAAGAAAAAUCAAGUUUUCAAAUUCCAGCAGCAUUUCAAUCAACUGCAAAUUGUUGAUUCAUACAUUCCUCAAAUGAAAGAUGUAAGGAAGGGUACUUGUCCCUUCUAAGAGAACAGGAGGCAGGCUACCACUAAGCUACAUUCCCAGCCCUAACACUAGAAAAGUUCUAAUAUUGUUCUAAUAAAAAUUUCUAGGGCCGGGGAUUUAGCUCAGUGUUCUGCCACCUGCCUCGCAGGUGCAAGGACCUAAGUUCGAUCUCCGGUACCAAAAAAAAAUUUUUUUUUCUAUAUUUCUUGUAUGUGAGUGUUCACACAGGAUUGAAACCACGGGUGCUCUACCGCUGAGCUACAUUCCCAGUCCUUUUUAUUUUAAAACAUGCUACCACAGGGCCGGGGAUUUAGCUCAGUGGUUUCGCCGCCUGCUGCGCAAGCGCAAGGAGCCGAGUUCGAUCCCCUGCACCAAAAAAAAAAAAAAAAAACACGCUACCACACACAGCCUCUAUAUCCCAGGUUUGAAUAAACUGCCAUUUCUCCCCACCCUGGGCUAUCAGCAGCUCACCCCCACCUGUCACUUACAAUAAUAGCACUGUAAUACAAAUGCUGCACGUUGCCACCAAACUUUGUCUCUGAAUCUUGAUCCCUUUUCCUAUUAGCGAAUGAACUGGAAUUCCAACUACUCAGAAGGAUAAGGCAGGAGAAUUGUUACAUCAGCCUAAGCAUUAAGCCAAGACUCUGUCUCAAAAUAAAGAGGUAAAAAAACAAAAAGGCGUGGGGAUGUAGCUCAGUGAUAGAGCGUUUGCAGCUCCAGGCCCUGGGUUCAAUCCUCAAUAAUGGAGGGAGGGUGUGUGAAAAUCUGCGUAGACUCAUCCCCUUACUCAAGAGCAUCAAGGCAGAGAGUUUUUUUUUUUUGGUACCGGGGAUCAAACUCGGGACCUUGUGCUUGCGAGGCAGGCGCUGGAACCACUGCGCUAAAUCCCCGGCCCGCAGAGAGCACUUUGAGACGGGCAGGCCGCGGCGAGGAAGCGCAGUUGGUGGACUGCAGCGGC
rnacentral:lncRNA from 1 species